GCUACAUUUAGUGCCGCCUCUGUCUUGUAAAGUUUUAUCCUUUUUAUAUGUAAGGAUAGUGCUGUUUUACUUGGCGGCAGAAAUCU
rfam:Brassica napus, WGS project CCCW01000000 data, contig: 28745